UACGAAGGGGGCUAGCGUUGUUCGGAUUUACUGGGCGUAAAGCGCACGUAGGCGGAUUGUUAAGUCAGAGGUGAAAUCCUGGAGCUCAACUCCAGAACUGCCUUUGAUACUGGCAAUCUAGAGUCCGGAAGAGGUAAGUGGAACUCCUAGUGUAGAGGUGGAAUUCGUAGAUAUUAGGAAGAACACCAGUGGCGAAGGCGGCUUACUGGUCCGGUACUGACGCUGAGGUGCGAAAGCGUGGGGAGCAAACAGG
rnacentral:rRNA from 1 species